ACACGACUACAUUAGAUACCCGUGUAGUCCCAGCCCUAAACGAUGCGCGUUAGGUGUAUCGGUGACCACGAGUCACCGAGGUGCCGUAGGGAAGCCGUGAAGCGAGCCACCUGGGAAGUACGGCCGCAAGGCUGAAACUUAAAGGAAUUGGCGGGGAGCACCACAACGGGUGGAGCUUGCGGUUUAAUUGGAUUCAACGCCGGAAAUCUUACCGGGACCGACAGCAACAUGAAGGCCAGGCUGAAGACUUUGCCGGAUUAGCUG
rnacentral:rRNA from 1 species